rnacentral:rRNA from 1 species
UCCUUAGUACGAGAGGACCGGGAUGGACGUACCUCUGGUGUACCAGUUGUCCUGCCAAGGGCAUGGCUGGGUAGCUAUGUACGGAAUGGAUAAGCGCUGAAAGCAUCUAAGCGCGAAGCCAACUUCAAGAUAAGAUUUCCCACCGCAAGGGUAAGACCCCAGAAAGACUAUCUGGUUGAUAGGUCGAAGGUGUAAGUGCAGCAAUGUAUUUAGCUUAUCGAUACUAAUAGGUCGAGGACUUGACCAAU